GGGGAAUCUUCCGCAAUGGGUGAAAGCCUGACGGAGCAAUACCGCGUGAGGGAUGAAGGAUUUUGGUCUGUAAACCUCUUUUCUCAAGAAAGAAGUUCUGACGGUACUUGAGGAAUAAGCAUCGGCUAACUCCGUGCCAGCAGCCGCGGUAAUACGGGGGAUGCAAGCGUUAUCCGGAAUCAUUGGGCGUAAAGCGCCUGUAGGUUGUUUAAUAAGUCUGUUGUUAAAGACUGGGGCUUAACCCCAGGAAAGCAAUGGAAACUACUAGACUUGAGUAUGAUAGGGGUAGAGGGAAUUUCUAGUGUAGCGGUGAAAUGCGUAGAUAUUAGGAAGAACACCGGUGGCGAAGGCGCUCUACUGGAUCAUUACUGACACUCAGAGGCGAAAGCUAGGGUAGCAAAAGGGAUUUAGAUACCCCUGUAGUCA
rnacentral:rRNA from 1 species